UACGUAGGGGGCAAGCGUUGUCCGGAGUUACUGGGCGUAAAGCGCACGCAGGCGGUCGAUUAAGUUUGGAGUGACAGUUGGUGGCUUAACUGCCAAAGUGCUUUGAAAACUGAUCGACUUGAGGGCUUCAGAGGGACACGGAAUUCCGGGUGGAGUGGUGAAAUGCGUAGAGAUCCGGAGGAACACCGAAGGCGAAGGCAGUGUCCUGGGGAGUACCUGACGCUCAGGUGCGAAAGCCAGGGGAGCGAACGGGA
rnacentral:rRNA from 1 species